UAGGGAAUCUUCCACAAUGGACGCAAGUCUGAUGGAGCAACGCCGCGUGAGUGAAGAAGGGUUUCGGCUCGUAAAACUCUGUUGUUAAAGAAGAACAUAUCUGAGAGUAACUGUUCAGGUAUUGACGGUAUUUAACCAGAAAGCCACGGCUAACUACGUG
rnacentral:rRNA from 1 species